rnacentral:rRNA from 1 species
GACGAACGCUGGCGGCGUGCUUAACACAUGCAAGUCGAACGGAAAGGCCCUGCUUUUGUGGGGUGCUCGAGUGGCGAACGGGUGAGUAACACGUGAGUAACCUGCCCUUGACUUUGGGAUAACUUCAGGAAACUGGGGCUAAUACCGGAUAGGAGCUCCUGCUUCAGUGGGGGGGUUGGAAAGUUUCGGCGGUUGGGGAUGGACUCGCGGCUUAUCAGCUUGUUGGUGGGGUAGUGGGUUACCAAGGCUUUGACGGGUAGCCGGCCUGAUAGGGUGACCGGCCACGUUGGGACUGAGAUGCGGCCCAGACUCCUGCGGGAGGCAGCAGUGGGGAAUAUUGCACAAUGGGCGGGAGCCGGAUGCAGCAACGCCGCGUGCGUGAUGACGGCCUUCGGGUUGUAAACCGCUUUCGCCUGUGACGAAGCGUGAGUGACGGUAAUGGGUAAAGAAGCGCCGGCUAACUACGUG